rnacentral:rRNA from 1 species
UACGUAGGUGGCAAGCGUUGUCCGGAUUUAUUGGGCGUAAAGCGCGCGCAGGCGGACUGAUUAGUCCGGGGUGAAAUCUCACGGCUCAACCGUGAGCGGUCCCCGGAUACUGUCAGCCUUGAGGGGUCUAGAGGAGAGCGGAAUUCCCGGUGUAGUGGUGGAAUGCGUAGAUAUCGGGAAGAACACCAGUGGCGAAAGCGGCUCUCUGGGGAUCACCUGACGCUGAGGCGCGAAAGCGUGGGGAGCGAACCGG